rnacentral:tRNA from 1 species
GCCAUUGUGGCAUAGUGGUUUGAGUGUUAGACUACAAAUCUGGAGAUUAGGGUUCAAUUCCCAGUUUGGUCA